AUGACGUCGUGGCUGAACAACAACGAGACGUUGGAAGACGAUGACGAGUACAUGAGUGAGUUCAGCAGCAUGCAGAUGGAGUACUUUCAAACUCCUGACACUGUGAUAGACCCUAGUUUCUGUGGGCUUGUGACUGAAUCUGACAGAAGGUGCAUCCCGCACAGGAAGAGGGCGGGCAAGUUUGUGGCAUUUGAAGGCACUGACACUAGCAGGAGAUUCAUAGGAUGUGCUACUGAGGAUGGUGUGAACUGUGGUGUUCUGGAGUGGGUAGAUGUCCCCUGGCCUGUAAUUCUGCAAAGGUGCUUAAGCAAGCUCUGGGAACAGAAUCUUGGUAGAGCCCAGGAUAAUGAGGCUCAUGGGAUAGAGGUUGCAAAACUGCAGAAGGAGCUUGCUUCUCUGGCCAAUCAGUAUAGCCAGCUGGUGGAUGAUGUGUCCAAGUUGUUUGAUUAUCAGGAUGGAAUCAAACCUCAUGACAUGGGUUGCACAAGCCAGGCAAUCAAUGAACUGAAGGAGAAGAAGAAGCAACUUGAGGAGCAGGCAAAGAUUGAGCUUCAAAUGGAGAAGCUUAAGCUCAAGAAAGAACAAAGGUGCAUCCUUUAG
rnacentral:rRNA from 1 species